GAGAUGCCUCAUAACGGCAGAGGUACACCCUGAGGAUGUCGGAGUCCACCCAUAAUCCACCAUACACGACAAGUCUGUAGGCUGUCAGGUUUGUCUGAGUGAGUGGUGGGGUGGUGGCGAGCAUGGAAAUCAUACGGUCACCAUAUAUGAAGGCCGCUGGAUCAUUGUCCUGCAAUGGCAGACGGGGAGGAUGGAACAUGAGCGAUCUGGCGUCUGGGUGAAGGUCAAAGGAAUGGAUUCG
rnacentral:lncRNA from 1 species